CGAUGAAGCCCAGCUUGCUGGGUGGAUUAGUGGCGAACGGGUGAGUAACACGUGAGUAACCUGCCCUUGACUCUGGGAUAAGCGCUGGAAACGGCGUCUAAUACCGGAUAUGACAACCGACGGCAUCGUCUGGUUGUGGAAAGAAUUUUGGUCAAGGAUGGACUCGCGGCCUAUCAGCUUGUUGGUGAGGUAAUGGCUCACCAAGGCGACGACGGGUAGCCGGCCUGAGAGGGUGACCGGCCACACUGGGACUGAGACACGGCCCAGACUCCUACGGGAGGCAGCAGUGGGGAAUAUUGCACAAUGGGCGAAAGCCUGAUGCAGCAACGCCGCGUGAGGGACGACGGCCUUCGGGUUGUAAACCUCUUUUAGCAGGGAAGAAGCGAAAGUGACGGUACCUGCAGAAAAAGCACCGGCUAACUACGUG
rnacentral:rRNA from 1 species